AACGUAGGAGGCAAGCGUUAUCCGAAUUUACUGGGCGUAAAGCGUGUGCAGGCGGACUGGUAAGUUGGAUGUGAAAUCUCCCGGCUCAACUGGGAGAGGACGUUCAAAACUGCCAGACUGGAGGGCGGUAGAGGGAGGUGGAAUUCCCGGUGUAGUGGUGAAAUGCGUAGAUAUCGGGAGGAACACCUGUGGCGAAAGCGGCCUCCUGGGCCGUACCUGACGCUGAGACACGAAAGCUAGGGGAGCGAACGGGAUUAGAAACCCGAGUAGUCC
rnacentral:rRNA from 1 species